rnacentral:rRNA from 1 species
GGGAAGGAGGGGACGACGUCUGGUCAGCAUGGCCCUUACGGCCUGGGCGACACACGUGCUACAAUGCCCACUACAAAGCGAUGCCACCCGGCAACGGGGAGCUAAUCGCAAAAAGGUGGGCCCAGUUCGGAUUGGAGUCUGAAACCCGACUCCAUGAAGGUGGAAUCGCUAGUAAUCGCGCAUCAGCAUGGCGCGGUGAAUACGUUCCCGGGCCUU